UGGGAAUUUCAAUGUAAAGUGUCUAGUGCA
rnacentral:piRNA from 1 species